CCUACGGGUGGCAGCAGUGGGGAAUAUUGCACAAUGGGGGAAACCCUGAUGCAGCGACGCCGCGUGAGUGAAGAAGUAUUUCGGUACGUAAAGCUCUAUCAGCAGGGAAGAAAAUGACGGUACCUGACUAAGAAGCCCCGGCUAACUACGUGCCAGCAGCCGCGGUAAUACGUAGGGGGCCAGCGUUAUCCGGAUUUACUGGGUGUAAAGGGAGCGUAGACGGCAGCGCAAGUCUGGAGUGAAAUCCCAUGGCUUAACCAUGGAACUGCUUUGGAAACUGUGCAGCUAGAGUGCAGGAGAGGUAAGCGGAAUUCCUAGUGUAGCGGUGAAAUGCGUAGAUAUUAGGAGGAACACCAGUGGUGAAGGCGGCUUACUGGACUGUAACUGACGUUGAGGCUCGAAAGCGUGGGGAGCAAACAGGAUUAGAUACCCCUGUAGUC
rnacentral:rRNA from 1 species